rnacentral:rRNA from 1 species
UGCAGUCGAGCGAAUGGAUUCGAGAGCUUGCUCUCAAGAAGUUAGCGGCGGACGGGUGAGUAACACGUGGGUAACCUGCCCAUAAGACUGGGAUAACUCCGGGAAACCGGGGCUAAUACCGGAUAACAUUUUGAACUGCAUGGUUCGAAAUUGAAAGGCGGCUUCGGCUGUCACUUAUGGAUGGACCCGCGUCGCAUUAGCUAGUUGGUGAGGUAACGGCUCACCAAGGCAACGAUGCGUAGCCGACCUGAGAGGGUGAUCGGCCACACUGGGACUGAGACACGGCCCAGACUCCUACGGGAGGCAGCAGUAGGGAAUCUUCCGCAAUGGACGAAAGUCUGACGGAGCAACGCCGCGUGAGUGAUGAAGGCUUUCGGGUCGUAAAACUCUGUUGUUAGGGAAGAACAAGUGCUAGUUGAAUAAGCUGGCACCUUGACGGUACCUAACCAGAAAGCCACGGCUAACUACGUGCCAGCAGCCGCGGUAAUACGUAGGUGGCAAGCGUUAUCCGGAAUUAUUGGGCGUAAAGCGCGCGCAGGUGGUUUCUUAAGUCUGAUGUGAAAGCCCACGGCUCAACCGUGGAGGGUCAUUGGAAACUGGGAGACUUGAGUGCAGAAGAGGAAAGUGGAAUUCCAUGUGUAGCGGUGAAA